AUCAGUCGCGGGCGGCAGCGAGGGUGCCCGCGGUCAUUCGGACAGAACACUGUGCCCCUGGAACAAAAGGGGUACUUCGGGGCGUU
rnacentral:sRNA from 1 species